UUAAAAUUUUUGUAUAAGAAUUGAAUCUAGUUUUGUGGACAUCAGCGUUCUUUUCCGAUAGUUGAUUGAUUAUGAAUCUGUUGGUUACAAAUUGUCUGUCUAAUUCUAUUGAUGGUUACCGCUGUGUGAGUGUGAUUUUGUGCACGGAUAGCCUUGAUUAGUGAUUCUAUUUACGGGCUAACAAAUCAGAACUAGAUCUAUAAAAGUUUUUUGUGUGUAUGAUACAUAAGCUGAAUCUAUUGGAUAUUAUCGAAUUUGUUCUCAGUAUUUCAGUGUUUUAUUGUUGAUUAUCUUAGGAGUUUAUUGAAUAUGAUCGCCACAUGCUCAGGAAUCAGAUAGACUAGUUGACUAUAUGGAACUGAACCUAGUUUUGUGUGUAGGUUUAUGUUUCGAUUCUACUAUCUGCACAAGUUAGACUUAUGAGUACUAGUUCUCUGUAUAUUUUAAUGUGUAUAGCUAUGUGAUAUUGUGUACAUUAAUAGAAUUCUGUAUUUUUGCUAAGAUUCACAUGUUUGUAUUUUAGUUCUAGUAAUAAGUUGUUUGUGCGGAUCUCUGUAUUUUAGUUCUAGUAAUAAGUUGUUUGUGCGGAUCUCUGUAUUUUACUUCUAGUAAUAAGUUGUUUGUGCGGAUCUCUUUCAUGCUAAUAUGACUGUACCACAAAGGUUGGGGGCCAUGUACGAUGGCUUUGUGUGUCUUUUAGAGACAAUAUGGUACCCAAGUUGGGCGAUGGUGUAUACCAUUUUACACAGUUAUGUCUUUUGACAUAUAAAAUUCUAUUAUCUCCAUGUCUAAUUAUGAUAAGUUAAUAAAUAGUAAGCUCUGAUAGUAUAUUUGUAAUGUGGAAUCCGAUUUGUCAGUAAUGAUUAUACAAGUAUGAAUAUUUGGUGUCUCAGGAAGGAGAACCACCAUUAGCUAGUGUCUAGUGGUAUCUUAAACUGAAAACAAGAAACGCUGUAGAGAUUUUUCAGGUUGGCAUUUAAAUUUUUUAAAAGGAAUAAGUGAAAGAUUAAUUUUCCUUUGAAUUAGUAAAAAAAUACAAACACUGGAAUCUUCUUUUGUAAUAUCCCCAUAACAAACCAGUAUAUGAUCAUACUGAUACUUUGCAUCAGAUUAUAGGCAUCAAUCCAGGAGUUAGGAAUACUGCUUCUCAGCAUAUAAUAAGAAUAAGUUAACUGUUUUAUAAAAAUCACUUAGACGAGCAUAACUAAAGGACAUUUUUGAAAUACAAAACACAUGUUAUCAAUUAAUAUGAACUGCUAUGAUUAAGCAUUAAUCUAGGCCGAUAAGGAGCAAAAUCAUGGAUAUGAAUAAAUCAGUAUAGAGUCAGUUAUAUGGUAAUUUAUAAAAUUAAAGGAGACUAAAUAGGAAUUAAUUCUAUUUAAUUACAUUGAAUAUGAGUUAAUUGGUGAUGAGAAAAUGUCUCAUAUUCAAUUAGGGCAUAUUUUUUGGUAAGUACCAUUAAAACAGAGGUGAUCAGUCAAUAGGAUAAGCCUAAUUGAAAGGGUACUUAAUUACGGACUAAAAUAAUGUUCUAAUGAUGGACCAUAUAGAAUAUAGUUAUAUAAUUAGAGCAAAUAACAAACAAAUAUCAUCAAAUAGCCUGUUCUUCAGUGCCUUAUUUUGUCUGUUGGCUUCUUUGCAAGUUCUUGAUUAUUAUGAAUACCAGGCGAUUGCAGAGCUAAUGACCACAAUAUUUCAUCAGGCUCAAAUGACAUCAAACUUAUACAUACAUUAACUGGAUGGUAUUUGCACAUAGCUUAUUGGACAAUACCUGAAGUGUUUACAAACAAUAAAAAUAAUCUGGAGUAAGAAUACUGCUUAUUGGCCGAGAAUACUGGAUCUUUACUUGAAGUAAGAAAACCAGCAGUUGAUGGUGGGAUAGAACAGUUAAGAAAAGAGAUGACUGUGAUGAUGCAGGAGGUCAUUGAAUUGCAGCAGCAACAUCGUGGAACGAUUCAGCAUAUGGAAGCAGUGAACGAAAAGCUCCAAGCAGCAGAACAGAAGCAGAAGCAAAUGGUUUUCUUUCUUAGCAAAAGUGUUCCACAACCCUGCGUUCUUGGCUCAUUUUGAGAACAUUGGUUCAUAUAAAUUCGACAUACCAGAUGAUCUUCCCAGGCCCCUAGAGCCUAAAGAGUGUUUUCAGGAGUAUUCUGUGUCUUCCGGAUUUGAAGAAUUGACAAGACCAGACAUGGGUUUGAAUCUGGUAUGUCAGGCUCCAACAAUGAAGUGUGGGGUAAUUUUAAUAAUUUUGUUGCACCAGAAUUCGGAGUCAUCGGCGGAAUGUCAGAUAUAUGGGAUGUAAGUUCCUCAGAGGUGGCAGUAGGUCCUGAAUUCGAUAUUUGGCGCGCUGAUGAGUAUUGAUUUAAAAAGCUUCAGAGCCAAGUUGGCCAGCCCCCUAGGAAUUCAACUUCUUUGGCAGUUAGAAGCACAUUUUGGUUUAUAAAGAAAAAGAGUUUAGGGUGGUCGUAUAGAUGCUUUAAAUGUAUAUAUACCAUAUCUUUUCUAGGGCAGAGGCCUUUCUUGAUGGAAUCUGUGAGCAUUUUAUUGAUAGAAUAGUUGUAUUUGCAUAUAAAAUUCUUUGUUUGUGUUAAUUUGUUUUCACAAGAAAAAAAGGUUUAGUAUGAAUUAUGAAUAUUUUAAUACUUGUGUGUCUAACCAAAGUUCUUGCUUUGGUUAGACAUUUUAAUUUUUAUUUGUCUAUAUUCUUUAUUAGUUUAAAAUA